AGUUACUACUGCCUCCGCCCCAUGCUGUGGAGCCCGGCUGGAAGCCCGGGGGUUGUUGGGUCUUCACCCGGGAAAUGGGGAGAGAGACUGCGGGGCAGCUGGCACCACAUACGUGCCUUACAGGGGAGAGGAGAGGAGAAGAAAUGGUGGUAGAGAAAGAAAGGCAAGGGGAGCUGUGCAGAACCACCCGGAAGCUUGAGAGUUCAACGCGGAGAACCUGCUCUGUGCCAGGCCCCCACCUGGGAGGUGUGGGCAACCUUCCUGCCUUCCGGGUGCUCAGAGUCUAGUCUGGAGACAAUAAGAAAAAUGGUUAAUCACCAUGGAAUGUGCUAGCGCCUUAGCCCGAAGCAGGGGUCUGGUUAUUGAGGUUUGUUGAAGGAAGAUGCCUGUAAGGGCUGGGUGCGGUGGCUCACGCCUGUAAUCCCAGCACUUUGGGAGACCAAGGUGGGCGGAUCACCUGAGGUCAGGUGUUCGAGAUCAGCUUGGUCAACAUGGUGAAACCCUGCCUCUUCUAAAAAUGCAAAAAUUAGCCAGGCGUGGCAGUAGGUGCCUGUAAUCCCAGCUACUCGGGAGGCUGAGGGAGGAGAAGCACUUGAACCCGGGAGGCAGAGGUUGCAAUGAGCUGAGAUUGGCCACUGCACUCCAGCCUGGGUGACAAGAGCAAAACUCCCCCUCAAAAAAAGAAAAGAGGGGGAGGGCAGGGGAGAAGGGGGAAGGGGGAAGGAAAGCAGGUAUUGAAGGAGAAAUUGCUGAGCUGGGCUCAGGUCUAGCCUUGGCCUGGGUUAGAGGAGUGGGCUCCAAGCAGAGUGGCCCCCUUAGAGGCAAAGAGAAUGGCCUUGUCUGCCUCCUUUCAGGCUUUGGAUGGGGCUGAUAGGUGAGGUGGUGGGUGCUUGUCAGCCAAGGGCCCCUCCACAUAAGGGGACAGGUGGGGGGCAGCUGCGAGUCUGUAGACCCAAGACUUGCAGCAGCUGGAGGACCGGUGAGCAGCCUGGUAAAGCGACCUGGGGAGGCACCAGCAGCAUCUGCUGCAGUAUGGCCACACUAGCUGUUUGAUGGAGGACAGGGUAGGGAGCAGAGAGUAGGGAGCCGAGGGCAGGGAGCUUCCAGAAGGUCAUUCUGCUGCAUUGUGAAGAACAGCUGAGGAGGCGGCCAAGAGAAGAAAGGUCCGAGGGGGGCCGGGCGCAGUGGCUCACGCCUGUAAUCCCAGCACUUUGGGAGGCCGAGGCGGGUGGAUCAUGAGGUCAGGAGUUUGAGACCAGCCUGGACAACAUGGUGAAACCCCGUCUCUCCUAAAAAUAUAAAAAUUAGCUGGGGCAUGGUGGUGCGUGCCUGUAGUCCCAGCUACUCGGGAGGCUGAGGCAGGAGAAUUGCUUGAACCCAGGAGGCAGAGGUUGCAGUGAGCCAAGAUUGUACCACUGCACUCCCGCCUGCACGACAGCAUGAGACUCUGUCUUAAAAAAAAAAAAAAAUGGCCCGAGGGGUCGACAUGUGCAGAAGUUACAGGAGCACACAGCCCUUUCUGGAAACCCUAAGAUGUUUAAGGGUAACACGGGGUAUGGGGGGAAGCAGGAGGUGGUGGUGAGAGAAGAGGCCUGACCCUGAAGGGUCACGUGUGCUCAACAAAAACAGGAGUUCUAAAAGAACCGGAUUUUCCUUUCACCCCACCUCAGUUUUUUCUGCAAACAGUUGUGCGUGAAAUCAGGACCCAGAUGCUGCAGAACUGAAGUGGGAAGGGACUGACCACCACUGGGCAAAAGGCCGAAGAGGGUAGGCCACAGAGGGGCUGUCUCUAAGGGCUAAAAAUACAAGGGUUGAGACCAACUGAAGUGUGGCGAUUUCCUUGACGUUGGCAUUUUGGUUUUGUUUUCCUUUUUUUAAGAUAAGAGUUAUAUAGUAACUCAGAGCUCAGUAACAUCAGCAUUUUGGAAGUAGGAUAGGAAGAAAGUCUCAUCACAAGGGAGCCCUGUGGAGAGGAAUGAGCACAGAAUUUGGAGUCAGAAGAGUGGAAGGCCUGGGCUUGGGGCCUGGCUGCACCGUGCCGGCUGGAUUGUUCUGGGAAAGCUGCCCAACUCUCUGCUCCGCAGUCCCCACAUCUGUCACUAGGGAUCAUAUCUGCCUCACAGGAUCAGCUGAGAUAAGGCACGUGUGUAAAAGGCUGUACAAAUGUUAGUUACUAUAAGGUUGUCUCAAAAAAAUAAAACCCACGGCAAAGAGUA